ACAUUUUAUCCUUGCAUGUCUCCAGUAGAGCAGUUCUCACAGAGGACAGUUUGCUGCAGAUUGAAGCUGUCUCUAGCUCAGGCGUAGGGAAAUUUAGGCCCAGUGUGGCCCUCCAGGAUGCUGUCUGGCCCUCAGAACUAUUCCCGGGCCAUGCCAGUUCCCCAGACCACACCCCUCACUGGCCCUGCUCUGCACUUUCCUCAGGUGCUCUUGACUGGCUUGAAUGUAUCCUUGAACUGUGAUAAAAUGCCUCUUGCUUGCCUGAGGGAGGCUGGAGAGCGAGUGAGUGUGUAUGCGUAGAAACCAGCUUUUGCGUGACUGGAAUGUAGAAAGUGAAGGGUCACAACCCUUGCUCUACCCACUUUUGCCUCUGGCUGUGUCUGCCACUGGCAUGCGGCCUCCCAGAAAGUUGCCCAUGAGAGAAUGUGGACCUCAGGCUGAAGAAGUUCUCCACCCCUUCUCCAGACUGAGAAUUGCUGGGGUAUGUGGGGUGUCAAUGCCAGCUCCUUUACCCAACUCACAGAGCCUGCAAGAUGAACGAGGUGCACCAGCCGUCGUCUUGUUAAAAGUCUUCACAUUCUCACCCCAAAGAGGGAUGCCUGAUGGCCACUGCUGCCACAUCCUUUCUCCUCUGUUGCCUCCCCCAAAUUGCCUGAUAACCGCUUCUAAAUUCUGCAUCUGGAGGGAAGUUUAUACACCGCUGUUACUCUAGUUCAGGAGUGGGAACCCUUUGGCCUUCCAGAUGCUGCCAAAUUAAAACUCCCAUCAGCCCCAGCAAGUAUGGCCAAUGGCCAGAGAUUAUGAUAGCAGUUGUCGUUCAGCAACAUCUGGAGAAGAGUCAAAGGUUCCCCACUCCUGCUCUAAUUCAACCCCACUGCCUUCCCUGUGCCCCAUAACUACUGCUAUGUGGCUUAAAAAACAACCAGUCUUCCUUCGUGGUGGGACACUCGGGUGCUGUCUAGGAUGCACAAUUUGUCAAGCUAGCUGGAAACCAAAGUACUGGAACUUUUGCAGGGUCUUAUUUACCCUGCAUAACUGCGUCUUCUUGCUCUACAUUACAUACCCCUUAUGUAAUACUCCGUAAAGGUUAUUUCAGCACCUCAGUCAUUGCCAAAAUAUACAAGCCUUGAAAGUGUUGCCAUCAAAAACACUUGCCCAUGCUUGAUUUGCAACUUUUAAUUUUAGCAGUGAGUUUGGGAUUUCUGCUUUGCAGAAUUUAUAAGGAAAUUGUAGAAGCAGCAUCGCCACCCCACCCUAAUCUUAUCAUCCCAUCUCUGAGCAAGAGAAACACAAGAAUUCCCUGUUCUCAACUGUCUAAUCCGUGUUCUGAAUAGGUUGGGAGUAGGUCCUGUUCAGUUGUGUUUGUUUGCCAACAGACUUCAAUACCUGACUCGGAAAGCAAUCUGGAUCAGAACUGUUUGUCUCGCUGCAGUACAGAGAUUUUCUCUGAAGCCAGCUGGGAGCAGGUGGAUAAGCAGGACACAGAGGUGACACGAUGGCUGCCUGAUCACUUGGCUGCACACUGUUAUGGCUGCGACAGUGCAUUCUGGCUCGUCAGCAGGAAGCACCAUUGCAGGGACCCUGAACGUGUUGAUCAGACUUGGAAUUGUGGGAAUGUCUUUUGCUCCAGCUGCUGUAACCAGAAGGUGCCAGUCCCCAGCCAGCAGCUCUUCGAACCCAGCCGGGUCUGCAAAUCCUGCUACACCAGCUUGCAUCCCGGUAGCUCCAGCCUUGACCUUGAACUGGACAAACCCAUUGCUGCCACUUCAAACUGAGGCUCCAGCCUGGAAGGAAAGCUGGGAAGAGACUGCACUGCCUCUCCCAGCUCAGCAGAUCACGCACAUUUCUCAGCGGACUGAAGGUGGUAGGACUGGAGGAAGCCUUGCACUCUGGAGUUGGGAGGACGGAGGACUUGCUCAGAAGGAUGGGAUGUCGGGGGGGUGUUGGUGGAGUGGAAAUCCCUCCUUUCCAGCAGUUAAUUCCCAGUUUCAUUUUCAUCCUCCUCAUGUAAAUUUUGUGUGGAUUUUUGCUGGAAGACCAUGAGAAGAGGGGCUGGGCUGGAAUCUGUCCCCCCUCCCCCCCGCACAGAUGUUUUCACUGCCCUGCUGUCAAACUGUGCUGCAGACCUAUGAUUCUACCGUGCUGAGAGGAGAGAGGAGGGGUAAUCAGUCCAGAGACUUUGUGAAUACCUGUAGUGUCAGUGCUAGUGCUUUUCAGUCACUCCUGUUCCUUCCCAACAGCUGACUGCUGUUUGGGAAAAGUUGUUGCUGCUAGAAGAAAUGGGAGCUGCCUUCUCAAACAACAAAAACAAAAAACUCUCUCCCUCUCUGUUCUUAGAGUGGGCUUAGUUAACCUUGCUGCACAAAUGGGGGUGGACAGGCGGGGGGAAUUGGUUGCAGAUCUCUACAUUGGGCACUUCCUGUUUUUGGCCGACUUGUGGCUUGAAAUGGGUGGGAAUCAACUGGACCACUGUGGCUGAAGAAAGUGUAUGCUUGUCUGAGGGAAGCGAGAGGGGAAGGGGGGUCGGAGAGGCCAAUCUUGUUCAGGGUUGUAUUUUGAAACUGGCACCUCAAUGCGUAAGACUCUUGGCAUGUGCAAUUCAUUAUAAAAGAAUUGGGAUUUGGGCUUGUUAGUAGCUGUUAAAAUGUCUACCCUUGCCCCAUUUUUAAAAAAUAGUUUACACGGAAGGCAGAGCUGCGUCACUGCACUGGGCAGGCUGCGUUGCAAAGUCAGACGACGCUGUCGGGCAGGCUCCCCCCCCUCAGGAGACCCCCAAAGCAAGUAGGGAUGGCUUUGAUUUAUAGAAGGGGAGCCAGUUGGUCAGUGAAGACUGCUUUGCUGCUGCCCCAAAACUAGGGCAUUUUUAACCUUUUAAUACAGAAGACACAACUCAACCAAAACAAACUUAUGUGCCCUUUACAUUAACAUCACUUUUCUACUGUUGGUCUACAAAGAUUUGAUUGAGUCCUCAUUUUUUUAUAUAUAUAUCCCCACCCCCCAAAAAAUCCCUCUGUUUAUAGUUUUGGGGGUGGGGGGGAGAGAAUACCUAUUUUCCACAACUUACCGCCUAGGCUAAGCUGAAGCAGCUUCUACCUUAAUUAUACCAUCAAGUAGUGAUGUGCUUCUAUUUUCCUCUGCCCGGAGCUGGAGAAUUUGGGCCUUUAUCACACAGCUGCCACUUGAAACUGCCUCUGCUUAAUGUCUUCUCCAUGCCACCAGUUCAUGUGCAGCACUGGCCUCCGUAUGGUUCUUACACAUUGUGUGCGCAGCUUCCACACUGGAGCCGGCAACUGACUGGAAUGUGUGGCGCUGUCAUGAAAUCUCUCCGCAGUGUGUCAAAACCAGAAGGUGGAAAUGUGUGUUCAAAGGAGCAACUUGGAGAAGAAGAGAUUCCACACAGGUCGUUUCAAGCAGCAACUGUGUCGACUAAAAAAAAAAAGAUGCAAAGUUACAAUUAAUUCAUUGCCAAGAGAGGGAAUAUAAAGACGGCGCUUUCUAAAGCGAAGUGUAGAGUGUCUUGGAAUACCUGAUAGAGGAAAGACCUGUCAGCAUAUUUAUUAUGUUUCCUUGUUCUUUGUGAAAAGGUGCAUGUGUUGCUUACAACACAGCACUUGAGAAUGAAAAUUGAGUUUCCAGGAAGCAUAGGAAGGCUAACUGGGGACAUACCUUCUCAGCACUCCUUGUUUCUUCCAACUGGGAGAAGACGUACUGCAAAGUCUUAAUUCCAGUUUGGCUUUUUUAUAUAAAAUGGAAUGUUCUGGGAAUAUGCAGCAAAGGUGCGUAGAACAGUUCAAAGUUUAGAGGAGAAAGUUGGAACAGUCAAAGGAGGGGCCACCAAGAGCUCAUCGGUACUUUGCCAUUAAAAUGGGUGAGUAGAAGAGACAUGUUUUUGAAGGGAAAUGGUAUUGUGACACACUGCAGCGCUGUGGUUUUUAUGGUACAAGUAGAGGGUUGACAACCAAGGUCUAAUAUUCUGCAGUUCAUAACGACAGGUGCCAAGAGGUUCUGAUACGGGUUUGGGGGGGUCUGUGAUGUACAGUGUGAAUAAACGCUUGCAACUCUUCGUCUUUUUGAUCAAUGGAGCACUUUUUAUUACUCUUCUUUCUUUAUAUGUAACGUGUGUGUGUGUGUUAAAA